rnacentral:rRNA from 1 species
GACGAACGCUGGCGGCGUGCUUAACACAUGCAAGUCGAGCGGUAAGGCCCUUUCGGGGGUACACGAGCGGCGAACGGGUGAGUAACACGUGGGUGACCUGCCCUUAGCUCUGGGAUAAGCCUGGGAAACUGGGUCUAAUACCGGAUAUGACUCCAUGACGCAUGUUGUGGGGUGGAAAGCCUUGUGCGGCUAGGGGAUGGGCCCGCGGCCUAUCAGCUUGUUGGUGGGGUGAUGGCCACCAAGGCGACGACGGGUAGCCGGCCUGAGAGGGCGACCGGCCACACU